rnacentral:misc_RNA from 1 species
AACCCUUCAAGCAUUGCUUGGUGUUGGGUGUUUGUCUAUGCCGAUGGCGUGGACUCGCCCUAAAAGUAUUGGCAGCGGUUUGCCGGCCUCUCGCGCAGCACUUUGCGCUCUUUGAGGUUUUGGCGGGCUUGACUUCCAUCAAGAUCUUUACUA